ACUGAACUUCCGUACAGCCCUUAGGUAGGGGGCGUGUCUCCUGAAUGUGUUAUGUCUCGGGGCGUAGCCGCAAAAGAUAAACUUUUAUGAGAGCGCAUGCGCAGAAGCGAGAGAGCGCAGUGCAGUGAUGGGUUGGUAUCCCACAACAGGACAUACAAACAACACACAAGGAGGACGUGAAAAUCAACUUGUCGGCCAUUUCGGAGUACAGCUGGACUCUGUUUAUCUAGCUAGUUGCGCUCAGGACAAGAUAAAGACGUCUCAGGACUCCUAAAGUGAUAAAGACCAGAGGAAAGCAAGAGUAUGAACUUACAAAAAGAGAAGAGGUGGCUUCUUAUCCUAUAUUUAGAGAGACCUGAAAAGUACAAUGUUAUACUGGAACAGACUGGAAGGUGCUCAAAGCCUCCUCUAACUUCAGCAGGGGCGGAUCUAGUAGGUAGCAGAGGGUGCUCAAGUACCCCCCUGACAUUGGACAAAUUGUGUCUCUUUUAUUAGUAGUGUCUUUUAAAAGUUAUGAUAAUUAAAAGCUUGAAUAGCUACUUCUUUAGGCAACGCCAUCGGUGAAGACAGCAAUUAAAGUUCAACCUCUUUCAAGUGCCAAUGUUUGCUUAUCUCAUGCACCUUCCUACCCCAAAAUAUUUGCUGGUGAAAGGGGGCCAGUAUUGACCUACCGUUUUGAGAAACUAAUGUUCCAAAUUCGGAACAGCAUGAAAAAUUCAAUGGCUGCCUUGUAACGGCUAUAUACAAAAAAAUUUCAGAUAAAAUUUUUUUGAAAAGUUAUAGGGAUAUUGCAGUUCCUUCUUAUGAAAGAAAACCAAAAUCCUAAAAUAGCUCUACUUUGUAGUGUACUGAAAAUUAUUAGUUUGCUCCAUAAGGGUUGUUUUCCUAGGCGCUAGGCCCUGUCACAUAAUUAUAGUCUCGCACUAGAUCUAGCCUCGAUUAAAAAUUGUUGUACCUAGCAUUCAAAUAGAAAACAUCUGGGGCUGGCUGCGCGAGACUAGCUUCUAUACUCUUGGAUUUUGAUUUGUGGAUUAGCAAACUAAAGCUUUUUUUGGCUAGUUUGACUCACAUUGAAGGCUGUUGCAGUAUUCAGACUCUUUCGUAGUAUCACCUGUUCGCACAAACUUCUAUUCAACAUUGUUGCACUAAAGCGCUAGCUUUUUGUUAGCUAGCUGACAAGAGUCAGAAAAACGCUAGUUUUUUUGUUAGCUAGCCUACAAGAGUCAGAAAAAUGUUAAAGCAGGUAACCAUUUUGUGAACUUGAUCUCUUGGCAAGAGAUCAAGCAUCUUGCAGACAAUAAUUAUUCCUGUGGAUGUAAUGCGCAUGCGUGCUCGAGAAUCUGAAUCAACUUAGGAAGAGGUCGAGGAGCCGAGUGGUGCUGUCUUAUUCAGCAUAUCGAACAAUACUAGGUGAAAGUCGUUGUUCAUCAAGCCAUCAGCCAGAUAGGUUUCUGUUUCCAUAUUCAGGUCUGUCCUCUCCUAUAUAAUGAAUUCUAUUCUAUCAACAAUUUCAUAUAUAAUUAUACCUUUCCACCUCU